rnacentral:tRNA from 1 species
GCCGACGUAGCUCAAUGGUAGAGCAACAGUUUUGUAAACUGUAGGUUGCGGGUUCAAUUCCUGUCGUCGGCUCCA